rnacentral:rRNA from 1 species
UACGAAGGGGGCGAGCGUUGUUCGGAAUCACUGGGCGUAAAGGGCGCGUAGGCGGCCCUCUUAGUCGCGUGUGAAAGCCCCGGGCUCAACCUGGGAACGGCGCGCGAAACGGGAGGGCUGGAGUUCGGGAGAGGAGAGUGGAAUUCCUGGUGUAGCGGUGAAAUGCGCAGAUAUCAGGAGGAACACCGAUGGCGAAGGCAGGUCUCUGGGCCACUACUGACGCUGAGAAGCGAAAGCAUGGGGAGCGAACAGG